AAGAAAUUGAUGCAUGUUUCAAAUGAACAUAAGAAAUAUAUGGUUCAGGAGAUGGUGUUAGCAUUGGAAAGAACAAAGAAUGAAUCUGCUUGAGAGACAACAGUUGUAUCAUAAACCUGAUACUAUAGAAGGCUGUGCAAAGAGAUCAAAGGACAGUGAGAACUUGAUGCUAUAGAGGAGAUACCGAAUCAAGCUAACCCAAAAUAUAUCCCUCCUUAUGGAGCAUUCAGUUUGUUUUACAGGUGUCAAAAAAUAACGCAAGUUCGUACCCAGCCUGGAGCCCAACCUAGAGUUCAAACUCACAACUUUGAAAUCAAGACCUGAACUGAGAUCAAAAGUUGGAUGCUCAACCAACUGAGCCACCCAGGCACCCCUGAAGUUCUUUUUUCUAAAUUAAAUAAUCCCUAUCUAACAAGGACAAAAGAGUGUUUGUUCAGAUAAAGUUGACCACCAUAGAAAAAUGAUAUAGAGAUGUGUCUGAGAUAUUAAAAUAUGUUUAUUCUUA